UACGUAGGUGACAAGCGUUGUCCGGAUUUACUGGGCGUAAAGAGCGCGCAGGCGGUCGAUCAAGUCGAGUGUGAAAGCCCCCGGCUCAACUGGGGAGGGUCAUUCGAUACUGAUCGACUCGAAGGCAGGAGAGGGUAGUGGAAUUCCCGGUGUAGUGGUGAAAUGCGCAGAUAUCGGGAGGAACACCAAUGGCGAAGGCAGCUCGCUGGGACGGUAUUGACGCUGAGACGCGAAAGCGUGGGGAGCAAACAGG
rnacentral:rRNA from 1 species